rnacentral:rRNA from 1 species
GACGAACGCUGGCGGCAUGCCUAACACAUGCAAGUCGAACGGGGAUACAAGAGCUUGCUUUUGUAUCUUAGUGGCGGACGGGCGAGUAACGCGUGAGCAACCUGCCCUUCAGUGGGGAAUAACGUCUGGAAACGGACGCUAAUACCGCAUAACACAACGAAGCCGCAUGACUUUGUUGUCAAAGGAUUUAUUCGCUGAAGGAUGGGCUCGCGUCCGAUUAGCUAGAUGGUGGGGUAAAGGCUCACCAUGGCGACGAUCGGUAGCCGAACUGAGAGGUUGAUCGGCCGCAUUGGGACUGAGACACGGCCCAGACUCCUACGGGAGGCAGCAGUGGGGGAUAUUGCACAAUGGGGGAAACCCUGAUGCAGCAAUGCCGCGUGAGGGAAGAAGGUCUUCGGAUUGUAAACCUAAGUAGCCAGGGACGAUAAUGACGGUACCUGAGAGUAAGCUC